AUUGAACGCUGGCGGCAGGCCUAACACAUGCAAGUCGAACGAGUGGCGGACGGGUGAGUAAUGUCUGGGAAACUGCCCGAUGGAGGGGGAUAACUACUGGAAACGGUAGCAAAUACCGCAUACCAUCAGAUGUGCCCAGAUGGGAUUGGCUAGUGGGGGGGGUAACGGCACACCUAGGCGACGACCCCUAGCUGGUCUGAGAGGAUGACCAGCCACACUGGAACGGAGAAACGGUCCAGACUCCUACGGGAGGCAGCAGUGGGGAAUAUUGCACAAGGGGCGCAAGCCGGAUGCAGCCAUGCCGCGUGUAUGAAGAAGGCCUUCGGGUUGUAAAGUACUUUCAGCGAGGAGGCGUUACUCGCAGAAGAAGCACCGGCUAACUCCGUGCCAGCAGCCGCGGUAAUUC
rnacentral:rRNA from 1 species